AUCACUUGUCAGCCUUUUGGCUAAAAUCAAGUGUAGUAGCUAUUCUUAACAGUAUAAAACAUGAUCUGAUACUGUUUUUUUUUUUUUUUUUUUUUUUUUGAGACAGAAUCUCGCUUUGUUGCCCAGGCUAGAGUGAGUGCCGUGGCGUCAGCCUAGCUCACAGCAACCUCA
rnacentral:snRNA from 1 species